UCGGGGACCGAUUUGCGUCCCCGUGCGCUCCAGGGCCGAGGAGACGUUCCUACAAAGAAGGGGCGGUCAACGGUGGAGGGAGAUCUGUUAAGGGUUUUCUUUUCUUUUUUUUUUUUUUCUCUCCUCUGGCCGCCUGGCGAGUGUCUGGGAGAUUGGCAAGCGCCUGGGAGAGGAAAGAGCAACAGUGAGCCCUGAAAGAGUGGAGAAAGUGAUCCGGAAGCCGGUUCACUGCCUGCAGCUCCUUAUCUGCCUGGGUUGGUGCUUUUUGUCGGCGCUUCAGCUUCCCAGCACAUUCCAGCUGAGGGGACUGCUAGACCGACGGCCGAUCCCACAUCCAUCAGUGCGCGCGCCUCUCAACUCCUCAAGACCCUCCUCAACUCCUCAACCUCGAGGGCGAAAAGUUCUGGCCACGAGUAGUUCCUGCCCAAGAAUUAUGAAGCAAAAUGGACUAUAUCUCACAUCCUUGGGUAUCUUAUUAAGAAACUCUCCAGUUUGGCAGGAGGAGAAUUGUGCUUCUUUAAAGUCUCUACUAUUACAAGCCUUGCGGUCUACUAAAUAUGAUGAAUGCAAAGAUGAAAAGGCAUGGACUCUUAAGGUACCCACAGUGAACUUCCAGGAGAGUCAGAUGUACUGAUAACUACUCACAAGGCAAUGCGAUAUGUGCCACCACAGAAUCACAUGUAAGGUAUGGAAAUAUCAUAGAGAGGCUUCAGCGUGGAAGAUAUCUGAGCUUGGGAUGGGUGUGCCAAGUAAGUGAAAUGGAAUAGAGAGAGUCCAUAAGAAUGAAACUGCGCUCCAGAACUUGUUGCAAUUAUUUUUAUUGGUGGGAAUACUGAUAUCAAGAACUAAGACAGAGAACAGUGGAAUAUGAAUAGUUCUUGAUGGAAUACGAACAGUAUAUGGUAGGGAGAUGGUGGUAAUGGUGUGGCAAGAAGACAGAAUGUGAUUAAGACAUGAGAAGAGUGAAUGAGGGGAAGGUGUUUAGGUUGAAAUGUCCAAGUGCAGGUCUCAGUUCAGGGGAGAAGUUGGGGCCAGAA